rnacentral:lncRNA from 1 species
AUUCUAAAAUUCUAGCCGGAGGUAACCAUGUACCUUAGCAUUAUUCACUUGUUUAUUUUUAUCAUUGCCAUCCAAGCUCGGAUGCACCUUCAUUGGAUACUUCUUUGAGGAGCAACCAAUCUAGAAGGUUUGACACUCAACCAACCAAAAUUUUAUUAAAACAAACGAAAUUUAAAACAUAAAUAAUACAUUACUUCAAAAUUUAAAAUUGUUCAUGGGGGACAAAACACCCCAAAAGUACAUAACCAACAUCAAAAUACACAAAUUUGAAAAUACAAUAGAAAUAAAACAAAAUAUGAAAAAUAGAAUAAACUUAGCCCUCCAAGGACUCAUAACCCUCAUCAGUACCGACUUCAG